rnacentral:rRNA from 1 species
UACGGAGGGAGCUAGCGUUGUUCGGAAUUACUGGGCGUAAAGCGCACGUAGGCGGCGACACAAGUCAGAGGUGAAAGCCCGGGGCUCAACCCCGGAACUGCCUUUGAAACUAGGUUGCUAGAAUCUUGGAGAGGUCAGUGGAAUUCCGAGUGUAGAGGUGAAAUUCGUAGAUAUUCGGAAGAACACCAGUGGCGAAGGCGGCUCACUGGACGCAUAUUGACGCUGAGGUACGAAAGCGUGGGGAGCAAACAGGAUUAGAAACCCGUGUAGU